rnacentral:lncRNA from 1 species
UCUUAACUUCUUGGCAGCUGGAUUCUCCUACUGGAAGAGAGCAUGUUGGUCAGUUGAAUGAGACAUCUCAGUCUGCUUAACAGAGACCAGAUCUUCUGAUGUGUUUGAGUGGGUCCUUUACGGAAGGCACUCUAGAGAGCAUUCUAUAUAUGGCAAAAACAAUUGACCUUCUUGUUGAAAAACUAGUCUUCUACAUUCAGAGGCAACCUCGCCUUACGAACACAGAACCACCAGAUCAAAGCAGCCUGGAUCACUGAAUCACCACAUGGAGGGCAGCUGCUGCAGAGAGGCAGUGAGAACAGAGCUGAACAAUUUGGACAGAGUACGUUUUUCUCAGCACAAAAACACGGAGAUCUGGGGAUCAUUUAUUAUGUAGUAUAAGCUUAACCUAUCUUGAUAAAUAUGGUGUCCCAAAACAAAUGUAUCUUUUCAACCUUAAAUACAUGACAUUUUUUAACAUCAUACUAUCUUUCAAUCAUACUAAAAGGUGAGUUUUUAGUUACUUUUUGUCCCUUCUUCUCUUUUAGUACCAUCCCCUCCAUGUUUUGCUGUAUCCUAUCAUUUGUAUCUUAGAAAUAUUUCUCAGUUUUCAUCAAUCUGGGAAAGAAAAAAAAAAAAAAAACGGAGUCAUAUCUUCUGCCUCUGAAUGAGAGAUACUUUAAUCAAUUCAAAAAAUUAGGAAACUUAAGUCCCUAGGAUUUGUUAUUUGGCAGCUCAUUUUCGACCACAAGAAUCACCUUGCCUGACUUUCAAGACACUCAACUUCAUCUGUCACUAGGACCCUAUAAUACUUCCCAGCACCUACACUUAUCUUCACCCAGUUUCCUCCUAAACAGCACUCCAGUUAUGCCUCAGCACCUUUGUACUCUGUCUUCUUACCUACACAGCUUUCAAACUGAAAUCCAAACUCAUUCUUCUCAUGAAGCCUCUCCUCAUUUUUCCAACCUCACCAAUGUCCCCUUACUCAGAACUCUCUCUGUGAAGAAACAGUUCCUAAUAGUUUAGUGUGUAAUACUUCUUUAAUUAUUACUACUGGCUUCCAAAAGGUUCUAGCCAUGCUUUUUACUGCUUCUGAAUCUGUGACAAUAUUUAGCCUAAUACAAAAACACAAAAUAAAGUACAAAAAAAUAAGUACUAAAUAUUUUUUACCUGCUUAAACUCAUCAGUAGACUUUCAUAUGACGAUCAGCUUCUUCCAGGGAAAUGUGGUAGUUUGUAACACACAUCCUUCCUUUUCAGCACAACAUCUCAGACUCCAGAGAUUCUACCUAAAUGAGAAACCACUGACUUGUUCAUGAAAAAAAGGAAUUGGCCUUCAAUGGUAUUUUUUCAAAACCUCACAUUCUUAGCAGAUGAUUAGUGACCUAUAGAAUUUCUUAGUAUUUGCUCUCAUAAGUGAAUUUGAUUCUUUAAUAAUUAUAUAUUGCCAGACAAACUUUAAAAGUAUCGACAGAUUAGUACCAUAAAUUAAACUUGCUUGUUCAUUUAUAGUUCAGAUGUGUUAUGAUGACAAUAUAGAACAAUAUGGGUGGUUUUACUUGCAGUAUUUUACUUUUUCCUAAAGUUAUGUGGAAUAUAACUGGUAUUGUUUUGUCCUCAAAAAGGAUUAUCUUCUGAAUCGUAUCUUCCAAUGAUGCUUAGUAAUUAUUAUACCUUAGUUUAUUUGCAUUAAACACUUUCCAAUAAAAGUUU